rnacentral:rRNA from 1 species
GAUGAACGCUAGCGAUAGGCUUAACACAUGCAAGUCGAGGGGUAACGUGUUGGAAGCUUGCUUCCGAUGACGACGACCGGCGGAUGGGUGCGUAACGCGUAUGCAACUUGCCUCACAGUGGAGAAUAACCCGGAGAAAUCCGGACUAAUACUCCAUACACUCUUAAGUACGCCUGUACAUGAGAGGCAAGAUUUAUCGCUGUGAGAUAGGCAUGCGUCCUAUUAGGUAGUUGGUGAGGUAACGGCUCACCAAGCCGACGGUAGGUAGGGGUGCUGAGAGGUAGAUCCCCCACAUUGGGACUGAGGCACGGGCCAAACUCGGACGGGAGGCAGCAGUGAGGAAUAGUGGUCAAUGGAGGAAACUCUGAACCAGCCAAGUCGCGUGAAGGAAGAAUGUCCUAAGGAUUGUAAACUUCUUUAGCGAGCGAGUAAGGACUUCCACGUGAUGGGAGUUUGAAAGUAGCUCGAGAAUAAGUAUCGGCUAACUCCGUG